AGGGUUCGAUUCUGGCUCAGGAUGAACGCUAGCUACAGGCUUAACACAUGCAAGUCGAGGGUAGCAGGGUAGCAAUACCGCUGACGACCGGCGCACGGGUGAGUAACACGUAUCCAACCUUCCCAUAACUCAGGGAUAGCCUUUCGAAAGAAAGAUUAAUACCUGAUAGUACUUUUUCAAGGCAUCUUGAGAAAGUUAGAGAUUUAUUGGUUAUGGAUGGGGAUGCGUUCCAUUAGAUAGUUGGUGAGGUAACGGCUCACCAAGUCUUCGAUGGAUAGGGGUUCUGAGAGGAAGGUCCCCCCACAUUGGUACUGAGACACGGACCAAACUCCUACGGGAGGCAGCAGUGAGGAAUAUUGGUCAAUGGGCGAGAGCCUGAACCAGCCAAGUAGCGUGAAGGAUGAAGGUCCCUAUGGAUUGUAAACUUCUUUUAUAGUAGAAUAAAGUGAUCCACGUGUGGAUCUUUGUAUGUAUACUAUGAAUAAGGAUCGGCUAACUCCGUGCCAGCAGCUGC
rnacentral:rRNA from 1 species